GCCUUAAUUAAACUGCUUUAAUGCAGCCAGAAGUUAAAGGGAAGCCUAAAGCACCUCGAAGUGCUGGGAAGUUUGGUGUAAAGGCAGACAAGGUCUGUGCUGACCUGUGUGAGCUAUGGCCACGGUGUUGUAUGGUUGACAAGCAGUGGUUCCAGGAGUUCAGGGUUCAUUUCACUUUGUACAAGUACCAGCUUUGGGCCUGGGACAGGCAAGGUGCUGCUCAACAUCUCUAGGUGAAUGCUAAUUCAACUUGGGACGUGUUGAUGAUGGUUAAAGGCUGCUGGAACUCUAAAUGGUGAUGUCUGCUGCUGGCAUGGAGCUUUCUACCAAAACCAAUCCCUGCAUCAAAGGAAAAGAGGAAUCCUGGACACAUUUGCAUGCUCUGCUUGGAGCCAGAUGCUCCUUCACGGGCCCUGACAGUCAGUGGAUUCAUUGAUGUGCCUUCUUCCAGCAAAUGAGGCAACACUGUACUUGGGGAGAAAAAAAAAUCCAUUUGUUGAAGUCAUGGCAAAGGUUCUCCAGAAAACUCCCCAGGAGCCAGCAGUGCCCUCAUGCAGCCCAGCAGGCAGGUGUGUGCUGGGAUGUAGCCAGAGAAGUUUGGGCAGCAGGGCGAGAGGAUUGUGCCCCUUGAUUCUGCUCAGACCUCACCUCUAGCCCUGUGACUAUCUCUGGUGUCCCCAGCAUAAGAAAGACACAAAACUGCUGGAGCAAGUCCUCUUUGCUGCAGAAGUUGUGGUCAGAGUGGUGUUGGCAGAAAUCACAGAAUUCCAUCGUGGUGGGGUUGGAAGAGAGCUCUGGACAGCAUCCAGUCCAAACCCCUUGCUAAAGCAGGGUACCCACAGCAGCAGAGGGGGUAGGAAUCUCUCCACAGCCUCACUGGGCAGCCUGCUCCAGGCCUCCAGCAUUCUCACACCAAGCAUCAGGGCUUUCUCGAGCUGAGCCAUAUGCUGUACUCACCAGGGAGAAGAGCAGGCUCUGGCUGGGUUGGGAUGAAUGUGACAGUGUUGAGAAGAUUGACCUCUAGCACUGAGUCAAGUUUAGGCUCUCAGCCGUUUCCUCCUCUGGACUUCAGGUUUUCCAGAAGGAGAUGUGCAGUAAGGGUGAUCAGAUCUGUUUCUUUGCAUCCUCUUGUGUCCUGAGGGGUCAAAACUCCACAGAUUUUCAGGCUGCUGCUGUAGCUUUCUCUACACUUCAAACGAUUUAAAGUUGAACAUACUCGAAAUGAGAAGCAACAUCUCAAGCUGGUAAAUCAAAGUAGAGGUUACCUUGUGUUUCAUUAUUAAAGCUUGAUGUGUUCAGCUCUA